rnacentral:tRNA from 1 species
GGGCGAUUAGCUCAGUUGGGAGAGCACCUGCCUUACAAGCAGGGGGUCACUGGUUCGAGCCCGGUAUAGCCCACCA